rnacentral:siRNA from 1 species
UCACUCGUGGCAACAUCAAAAGUU